CCUAAAUCACGUAAACACGGCUAUAGAUUAUGUAUUAUACAUUUCAGGUAUUAUGAUAACAGUUCAACAAUUACUUGGUAUUAGUAAUCUUCUAUUCAAGUCGAAAGAGUUCAGUUUGGUUAUUUAACAAAUUUAUGCUGGCUUAUUUGUUAUUAUCUAUAUUAAGCUUAUUACUAGAAAUUACUAUCGCAAGGAAAGUGCUGCCUCACCCCCAAGGGAUCAAAGGCAGCAUGCGCAAUUUGAUGAAUAAGAGG